rnacentral:tRNA from 1 species
AUUUAUAUAGUUUAUAAUAAAACAUUACAUUUUCAUUGUAAAAAUAAAAAACAUAUUUUUUAUAAAUA